GCAUAUCAAUAAGCGGAGGAAAAGAAACCAACAGGGAUUGCCCCAGUAACGGCGAGUGAAGCGGCAAAAGCUCAAAUUUGAAAUCCUGCGGGAAUUGUAAUUUGAAGGUUUCGUGGUCUGAGUCGGCCGCGCCCAAGUCCAUUGGAACAUGGCGCCUGGGAGGGUGAGAGCCCCGUAUGGCGCACGCCGACUCUUUGUACACCGCGGCUCCGACGAGUCGAGUUGUUUGGGAAUGCAGCUCUAAGUGGGUGGUAAAUUCCAUCUAAAGCUAAAUAUUGGCGAGAGACCGAUAGCGAACAAGUACAGUGAUGGAAAGAUGAAAAGCACUUUGAAAAGAGAGUGAAACAGCACGUGAAAUUGUUGAAAGGGAAGGGCUUGCAAGCAGACACGGUUUUACCGGGCCAGCGUCGAAAAGGGGGGAGGAACAAGAACUCGAGAAUGUGGCGCGCACCUUCGGGCGCGCGUGUUAUAGCUCGUGUUGACGCCUCCAUCCCUUUUCGAGGCCUGCGAUUCUAGGACGCUGGCGUAAUGGUUGCAAGCCGCCCGUCUUGAACCAACGGACCAA
rnacentral:rRNA from 1 species